GUCUGGUCCAUUGUGAGUUAUCUCAAUUGAUUAUUCAGUCAGUUACAAAUUAAAACUCCUUGUUCUACUCUUUCCCCCCUUAUCUCCACUACACUUGACUAGUCUUAA
rnacentral:Y_RNA from 1 species